AUGUGCUAUGAUAUUCCCUCCGUGGUCGGGUUUUGUCUUUCGUUUUGCAUUUUGUUCUUGUCAUGUAUUUCAUAUCAUGUCAUCAUGUGCAUUACAUUUGCAUACGUGUUUGUCUCAUGCAUCCGAGCAUUUUUCCCGUUGUCCGUUUUGCAAUCCGGCGCUCCUAUCUCCUCCGGGGCACCCCUCUUGUUUUUUUUCGUGAGCGGGUGUCAAACGUUCUCGGAAUGGACCGAGGUUUGUCAAGUGGCCUUGGUAUACCACCAGUCGUUUGGUACUCCAACGGUUAACCGGGCAUCCGCAAAGGCCAUUUGA
rnacentral:rRNA from 1 species